CUGGCAACUACUGAAGAUCAGCUGAGACAUGUACCCUCAUGGAUGAACAACACUGGGUUCCUGGACCUUCCAUACACAGACAUGUCAGCUCCUGGCAGCAUCCUGUACCUUCUCCAAUAAGAUAGAUGGCCAUGAAAGAACUUCCACCUGGAAGCUUAUGGAAAGGCUGGCCAUGAAGUGAAAUGCUGAGAUCCUGUCCAGACUGUGAAUAAGUGGAAUACUGAGGACCGAUUGCCCCAUACUGCAAAGUCAAGCUGUCUUACAGAUAACUACAGGAUCCUGGGAAAAGUUUUGAUACUGCAUCAAGAAAUCUGGUCUGAUGAAACUAACAAUCUCAAGACCCCAGCUAUUUUCUGAGCAUAUUUUGCAGAUGUGUUGUUCCCACCUGACCUUCAGAGAAACAGCAGAUGACAUGCUUUUAUACUCCUGAUUUGGCAUGCCAUUUUCCACCAAGCUCCUGGAACACCACUGCUGCAACCUGCCUCCUCAGCUCCCUUGAGGAAUGUUCUUGAUUUCUUCCACCAUGUGUGACUCCCGGUUCCCCCUUCCCACUUCACCCCUUGUCAGCUUGAAGAAGCAUCGAGAAUACAGCACCCUUGUUCCCCCACUUGCUCCCAUAA